GGAGCUGGGGCCGGCCUGGGACCAUGGGCGGUGAGUGCGGCGCGGGCCUGGGCCGGGGCGGUUGCCGUUGGGGCCGAGCAGCGCAGAGGUUCUAGGCGGGUGGGCGUCCAGGGUCCGAGGUUGGGAGACUGAGGGGGUCCCCCUAACUCGCCAGUGGGAGAGGGGCGGGAAGGCUGGGGGCGCUUCGAAGCGUCGGGUCCGAAUCCCGCGACUAAGCCUCCUCCUUUAUCCCCGCGCUCGCCCCUGAGCCUAGGACUUGCGCCCUCUUUCCUGCCACUCCCCCCGUGCGCCCGGUGUCCCAGCCCCGGCGCCCGCCCCAUAGCCCCCUUCUCCCAGAGCUGGCGCCGUCUCACGCCCGCUGCGAACCCCCGGCUCUGUCUCCAAGCCCUCGCCCCCCGCAGCCCCGCACUCUCCCGCGGAGCCCGCCUCCACCUCGCCCCCGCCCUUCCAGCCCUCUCCCGCACGGCCCCCGCACUCCCGCCGCUGGAUUCCAGCCGAGAUUCAAGCUCCCGGGAUCCCCCUUCCCGGGCGGUCCUGAGCCGGCUAGUCUCCAGUGAGUGCAAUCUACGGAUCAGUCUCUGAUGGUGGGUCGUUAACCUCAGUGGGGACUCCAAGAUUUCCAUGAAGAAAAUCAGUUGUCUUCAUUCAAGAAUUGGGGUCUGGCUCAGAAUUCCUGCAGCUGGUGAAAAUCUGUUUUCUAGAAGAGGUUUAAUUAAUGCCUGCAGUCUGCCCUGAGCUGUAGCCCCAGUCCCCUUUGACAUCACCCAUUUUCCAAUGGAGGAAGCUUCCAGGGAGACAGGGUACCACUUGGAGAGCCCCCAUGGCCACUUCAGAUUGCAGCCAUUGCCACUUCAUCUCACCUGAGGUGCUGAGGGGAGAGUCUAGCCUUGCAGGUAAACGACGGCCCAUUGGAGCCUCUCAACCUGGAGAUGCUGCAUGGCAGCCACGAGGAGGCACCCGUGAACCCAGAAUGAAUUUCAGGGUCCGCUCUGAGUCCAAAAGGCAGGAGGGCCCUGGCCAACUAACACCUAACUGAGCCACAGACUCUGGCCUGUUUAUCCUCCACCCUCAAAACCAGCAGGCUUCUCUGACCCUUUUUGGACUUUGGCUGGGGAAGCCACUGGCUUUUGGAAAAAGUUCAGUCUGCAGUGAUGGCGGGAACAAUCUCAGGAGUCUGGAAGAAGUUAAUGAUUAAAAAGGCAUGGAAGAAGAACUGGAUGGCGGCUUGGGGAGUAGUUUCUGCAGUCAGGAGGCACCCUUCACCUCAUUCCCUUGGCCCACAGUCAUCUGUGCAUGCGUCUGCCCCUCCCUCCAUCAGUGGAGCUCCCUCUGAGCUGCGUACUCGAGGGUGGAGGAGAGUUUGGGGGAACUCAAACAUGUGGUAGUAGAGACUGUAGUAACUUUAAAAUUCUCUUUGUAUUUGCAGAAUCAUUUCCCCAAUUUACACACUCAUGUUUCAGUUUACAGGGCAUCCUUUUGUCACCUGCUCGCCACCCUUAUGCCCCUGGGUGUGACCAGCUUCCUCAGAAAGAGCUGUAAUCAAUAGCAUAUUGAUUAAAAAGCAUAUUAAGAUGAAAA
rnacentral:lncRNA from 1 species